UUAACUCCCAACUCCAAGAGAGCAAGAAAACACUUACGUUUAAAGCGUUUGACGUUCAAGAAAAUGAAUGUAUUAUGAAAUGCGUGCUUGAUGACUUGGCGGAAGUUUGUCAGAUAAAACAAAUAUUUAUUGGAAGCACCGGGGUACUUGCCCCCAGUUUUUAUGUACCACCUGCAGUUAUACAAAAGACCAGGAAGGAACUGCUUGUUUUGCUGCAGCAAAACCAACACCAGACCCAAGUCGCGGC